UAUAGCGUGCUAGUGUGUUAGCAGGGAGAGACGGCUGGGUCUGUCAGGCUUGGUUCCGAGAAAGUUUCACUUUCUGCCGCAGUAUUCGUUAACGGAAACUAAAACUGUAAGAACACAUUUUCAUAACCUGAAAUAAGAUAAGGCAGAAGAAAAGCUACAACCAGAUGAAAUCUAAGUAUUACUUCCAAAACCAACUGAAAUAGAAUCAAAACAUGAAAAAAAUGUCAAAUACUUUGCUAGUGUUUUUUUUAAUUCUGUUUAUCUGAAUUAAUGACUUGUUUAUCUUUACCAUUAAUAGUAUGUGGAGCAUCAGACUGAAAGCUGAAUGUAUCCAUCUCUACAAUUAAAACGACUUAAGCGGAAGCUAAAACACAUAAAAACUAAAAGCUGUUGUCUUUAAAAAAAACAAUAAAACCACACCAAUAACUAUAGCUAAAACUAAAUGCGAUUUCAAAUGAAAAUUGAAAAUAAUGUAAAAAAAACCCCAGGCUGUAAUGCUGCUUUCUUCCCAGGUAUCUGCCUUACACAGCCCCCCAUGUCAGGCAGGUACCCUGGGUAGGUAUUCUCUGUGGAGGCCCAAAUCCAAGCUUCGUGUCGAGGGGCCAUUUUUAAAUGAUUUUAUUUUCACGGCCCAUGUAAGUUAGUUAGACUUGAUAAAUUUUACUUUAUUGCAUGAACCUUCAAAACAUGUAAUCAAUAGAACGAGUGUGUCUUUCGUAGGUCAUGUACUUAUUAAUUCAGUGAAAAAUGUAUGGGCAAAAAUCUGUUCAAAUCCAUGGAUCUGAAUAUAUAUUUUUUUUCGAAUGAUCAUGUGGGGUGGGAAAAAUAGCCAGCUCUUAUGCCCGGGUCUGCCUUAUGUCGUCAAAUUCAUAUUUAAUUUAAUUAUUUAAUUUUUUGUGUGCUAUGAUUAUGCAAAGUACUGAAUUCCCAUGUCAGGCAUGGCUUGGCUCUUAAUGCAUUAUGAGUAAAGCAAAUUGAAGCUGGCACUUUGACAGGGGCCUACUGGCCUGGUCACCGAGAUCAGGCUGAAGUCUCAUAGGACAGGAUCACAUUACCGAGGUUAGCUGAAGCCUCGUGGGACAGGGUCACUCACAUUACCGAGGUUAGCUGAAGCCUCUUGGGACAGGGUCACUCACAUUACCGAGGUUAGCUGAAGCCUCUUGGGACAGGGUCACUCACAUUACCGAGGUUAGCUGAAGCCUCAUAGAACAGAGUCACAUUACCGAGGUUAACUGAAGCCUCUUGGGACAGGGUCACUCACAUUACCGAGGUUAGCUGAAGCCUCAUAGAACAGAGUCACAUUACCGAGGUUAGCUGAAACCUCGUGGGACAGGGUCGCUCACAUUACCGAGGUUAGCUGAAGCCUCUUGGGACAGGGUCACUCACAUUACCGAGGUUAGCUGAAGCCUCAUAGAACAGAGUCACAUUACCGAGGUUAGCUGAAGCCUCGUGGGACAGGGUCACUCACAUUACCGAGGUUAGCUGAAGCCUCUUGGGACAGGGUCACUCACAUUACCGAGGUUAGCUGAAGCCUCUUGGGACAGGGUCACUCACAUUACCGAGGUUAGCUGAAGCCUCAUGGGACAGGGUCACUCACAUUACCGAGGUUAGCUGAAGCCUCAUAGAACAGAGUCACAUUACCGAGGUUAGCUGAAGCCUCGUGGGACAGGGUCACUCACAUUACCGAGGUUAGCUGAAGCUGCCCCAUCACAACAACAAGGCAACAGAAUCAGUCAAUCAUUAUACUCGCAGUUUGUCAUUUUCACAAAAUAGAUCCAUGUAUCAGUUACGUACCAUAACAUGUUAAAUAUUUAGGUAUUCAUGUAUGUAUAUAUGUAUGUAAAAGGCAGCAUUAGUCAUAAAGGUUUAAAUGUUGAUAAAAAAGUGUAUAAACACCCAAGUAUACAUAAGACUGGAGUAAAUUGGUAGGUUUAGUUCCAAGACCUGCAUGCUGUUAUACCUUUUUAUUCGUUUGUUGUUACGCAUGUAACAACGGCACUCAGUCACUGAAACUUGGCUGAACUAAGGCUUUUGCACAUAGCCAUGUUCUAAAUCUCUGCACUUAAAAAUAUCAUUUUAAUCUAGAGACUAUUUAUAUCUUCAGAAUUACUGUGUAAUUAUAGUUAUAUAUUUUUAACCUGUUUGCGAAAGUUGGCAUGUCACUGACCUGUGUGUCUUGGGAAUAUCAGUGUUUCUUAGGUUCUUGUUUUUCAAACCUCCAGACCCACCAUGUAACAAGAGAGUUUAUAUUUUAAGUAUCGUUUAAGAAAUGUGCUGACCUCACUGAAAUAUCUUUGAAACAAAAACAGGGAAAAACACACAUCUAGCUAGAAAUGGCACAGCCUUCACCGUAGAGGCCUAUUUUUCAACACUGUUGUGUUUUUGGAAACUCGAUAUAUUUUUAGCAGGACAGAAAUUAAACUCUGCCUGACUGUGAAGAUUGAUUGUACUUCCUGCACGUUGUGACAUUCCACUACAGAGACAGGCUAUGUAAUGUGCAACUUCCUUUUUUUUU